rnacentral:lncRNA from 1 species
UCAAGAUUUCAAAGGUCAUUCUAGAGUUUGACUAAACAUAUGUAACCAUAAAAUCCUCCAAUAUCUACUCUAAUCUCUAACAUUAAUUUCUAAACCAACCCAAAGAUAAAUUGUUGAGUUAUAAGUGAUAUAUUUACCUCAAAAGUCUCAAUAAGUAACUUUCAAAGAGUGGGUACUCAUCUCCUUUCUUAGAACACUAACCCUAAUCCCAAAAUUAUACCCAAUACUAUUUGUAGAAGUAUGAGGAACUUAUAAUAGAGGUUUGUUAGUUUUCUUUUGAGCGCAUGGCUGACAUUUGUGUUUGAAAGAAGAAGAUGAAUAGAAAUUGGAGAAAGUGAAAGAAGAAACUAGAAUGUGAGAG